rnacentral:rRNA from 1 species
UACGUAGGGUGCAGGCGUUAAUCGGAAUUACUGGGCGUAAAGCGUGCGCAGGCGGUUUGCUAAGACAGGUGUGAAAUCCCCGGGCUUAACCUGGGAACUGCGCUUGUAACUGGCAAGCUAGAGUGUGGCAGAGGGGGGUGGAAUUCCACGUGUAGCAGUGAAAUGCGUAGAGAUGUGGAGGAACACCGAUGGCGAAGGCAGCCCCCUGGGCUAACACUGACGCUCAUGCACGAAAGCGUGGGGAGCGAACAGG